GACAGAGGGUGCAAACGUUGUUCGGAAUUACUGGGCGUAAAGCGAGUGUAGGCGGUCUCAUAAGUCAGGUGUGAAAGCCCUGGGCUCAACCCAGGAAGUGCACUUGAAACUGCGAGGCUAGAGUAUCGGAGAGGUUGGUGGAAUUCUCGGUGUAGAGGUGAAAUUCGUAGAUAUCGAGAGGAACACCGGUGGUGUAAACGGCUUUCUGGACCAUAACUGACGCUGAGGCACGAAAGCGUGGGUAGCAAACAGG
rnacentral:rRNA from 1 species